rnacentral:rRNA from 1 species
UACGGGGGGGGCAAGCGUUGUUCGGAAUUACUGGGCGUAAAGGGCUCGUAGGCGGCCAACUAAGUCAUACGUGAAAUCCCUCGGCUUAACCGGGGAACUGCGUCUGAUACUGGAUGGCUUGAGAUUGGGAGAGGGAUGCGGAAUUCCAGGUGUAGCGGUGAAAUGCGUAGAUAUCGGAAGGAACGCCGGUGGCGAAAGCGGUCUGCUGGACCCCUUCUGACGCUGAGGCGCGAAAGCCAGGGGAGCAAACGGG